CCUACGGGAGGCAGCAGUAGGGAAUAUUGCUCAAUGGGGGAAACCCUGAAGCAGCAACGCCGCGUGGAGGAUGAAGGUUUUCGGAUUGUAAACUCCUUUUGUUAGAGAAGAUAAUGACGGUAUCUAACGAAUAAGCACCGGCUAACUCCGUGCCAGAAGCCGCGGUAAUACGGAGGGUGCAAGCGUUACGCGGAAUCACUGGGCGUAAGGAGCGCGUAGGCGGGAUAGCAAGUCAGAUGUUAAAUCCUAUGGCUUAACCAUAGAACUGCAAUUGAAACUGUUAUUCUAGAGUAUGGGAGAGGUAGGUGGAAUUCUUGGUGUAGGGGUAAAAUCCGUAGAGAUCAAGAGGAAUACUCAUUGCGAAGGCGACCUGCUAGAACAUAACUGACGCUGAUGCGCGAAAGCGUGGGGAGCAAACAGGAUUAGAUACCCUUGUAGUC
rnacentral:rRNA from 1 species